rnacentral:rRNA from 1 species
AAUGAACGCUGGCGGCAUGCCUAACACAUGCCAGUCGAACGAGACCUCCGGGUCUUGUGGCGCAUGGGUGCGUAAGCCGUGGGAAGCUUCCCUUAGGUUCGGAAUAACUCCCCGAAAGGGGUGCUAAUACCGGAUAAUGUCUUCGGCCCAAAGAUUUAUCGCCUUUGGUUGGGCCCGCGUUGGAUUAGCUAGUUGGUUGGGUAAAAGCUUACUAAGGCGACGAUGAAUAGCUGGGCUGAGAGGAUGAUCAGCCAGACUGGGACUGAGACACGGCCCAGACUCCGAAGGGAGGCAGCAGUAGGGAAUAUUGAGCAAUGGGCGAAAGACUGAUGGAGCAACGCCGCGUGAGUGAUGAAGGCCUUCGGAUAGGGAAACACUGUUAUGAGGGAAGAAAAUAUGGGUAAGAAACCGGGCAAAUAAUGACGGUACCUAAAGAAUAAGACACGGCUAACUACGUG